UACGUAGGGUGCGAGCGUUGUCCGGAAUUACUGGGCGUAAAGGGCUCGUAGGCGGCCAACUAAGUCGGAUGUGAAAUCCCCAAGCUUAACUUGGGAACUGCAUCCGAUACUGGAUGGCUUGAAUCCGGGAGAGGGAUGCAGAAUUCCAGGUGUAGCGGUGAAAUGCGUAGAUAUCUGGAGGAACACCAAUGGCGAAGGCAGCUCGCUGGGACGGUACUGACGCUGAGACGCGAAAGCGUGGGGAGCGAACAGGA
rnacentral:rRNA from 1 species